CCUAGAUAACCAGGAUGGCCCCAACAGCUCCAGGCUCAGGGCCUGCUAGCUCAGCAACCCCAGUGGAAAGAACUUCUUCCACCCGUGGUCCAGCACGUAUCUGGCCUUGACUCUCGUUGGUCCAGUUGAGACAUAUGUGGCAUCUCUAAGCCAAUCUCUCUGUCCAGGGGAAAACUUGGCAAAUGAAGAAACUGAGGCUCAGAGAGGUCACUUGCAGCCAAGGUCAAUGGCAGCUGGAUUUAAAUACAGGCAUCUGGUCUCAGCAUCUGUGUUCUCAGCCAGGAUGCUGUGAAGUCUCCCCAAGAACGCCCAGGAGCUCUAAAGAUAGCAGUGAUGACAAUGAGGAUGACACUGAUCAUGACAGUGACUCUCACUUAACCACUCUGUGAAGGCUGUGCUGUUUUGAUCACCAUUCGAGGUGCAUCACAGAGAGGUCAAGUAACUUGCUCCUGGUCACACAGGGCCUCAUGCGUGCUUGGCAAGCGCUCUACCACUCAGCUACCUCCGCAGCCCAGCUUCGACAGUACCUGGUCAGACCAACAGGAGCAGAAGAGGAAUUUGCUGGAAGGGUUGAAAGUGCUUUGGAGAAACAGAGAAUGUUCCAGAACCAGGCUUGGAAAGAACAGGAAGCAGGAUGGCCCCCGAGGCUGCUGGUCCUCUGAGGAGCGCUCUCUCCACCUCGCGGCUGUCCCCGCUGGUACGAGGGCUGCAGGUAGCAGAAAACCCAGUCCAGUCUGGCUCCGCGGGAGGGGCUUACUGGUGGGAAGGGCCACUCCUGUUGACCUGGAGGCUCAGGACUGGAACUUGGAACCAGGUUCCCUCUCUUCCGCGACCAUCCAUCUGUUGGCUUCAUCCAAAAGCCACUUCCUUGUGGCAAAAUGAGGCGUCCAGUAGUAAUUACCCCAUAAGGUCACUUGUUAGAAACAUCCAGAAUGGGGGAGGGGGGAGUGGCUUCUCAGGGCUCUCAAGACUGCGGACACCUGCCACCAGGAGCCCUGGGGAAUCUCAGGUGCCCCAUGGCCAAGCCGGCUUGUUCCCCCCAGGACCCACAGCACCAAGACACUGGAGGAGACUUUGGCCCCCAAGAAGCAUUUGACCCUGUGAAGACAUUUUUAAAUUUAAAUUCAUUUUUUCACUGAUACAUUAAAAACUUAAAAAUCACA